rnacentral:misc_RNA from 1 species
GGCCUAGACAGAACAAUAGUGAGAGAAGUGAGAAGGGCACAUGUAUUAGAGAGAGAAACGAGAGAAGAAAGAGAGACAGGACCAGCCAAGAACCUGAGAUGCUUAAGCUUGGAGCAAAAAGUGGAAGACUAUAAUGAGAAGAUGGUUAUUGAAAGCUGUGGUAAUUGAAUUGGUGGUUGUUAAGGUGGGGUCAGAGGAGAAGACGAGAGAAAGAGACGAAAGAAAAGGGUAGUGGGAAAGAAGAGAGGGCAAAGAUUGAAUUGUGGAAUUUUCAGGUGUAAGUCUAAGAGAUAUAGAUGUUUUGGAAGCGCGGUACAGGCGGAGCCACCGCUUGGAGACCAAAGAAACCGAUAAAGCUUGUGAAGAUGGUGGCGAUGGUGACGAUUUUGAGGCUAGUCUUGAAAAAAUUUCUUGGAGCAGCUCAUCACAAAGCAUGUUAUCCAUGUUUCUACCAAGCUGCUUAUGAAAUUUCUUCUUCUUGUCCCUGCCACACCUACCAAAGAGAGAAGCUUUGGUUUGUGGCUUUGAGGUUUUCUUUCUUGUUUGCUUC